GGGCCGCACGCGCGCUACACUGACGGAGCCAGCGAGUUUUAACCUUGGCCGAGAGGUCUGGGAAAUCUUGUGAAACUCCGUCGUGCUGGGGAUAGAGCAUUGUAAUUAUUGCUCUUCAACGAGGAAUUCCUAGUAAGCGCAAGUCAUCAGCUUGCGUUGAUUACGUCCC
rnacentral:rRNA from 1 species